AUGACCUCAAAUCAGGUAGGGAUACCCGCUGAACUNAGCAUAUCAAU
rnacentral:rRNA from 1 species